AGGACACCGAGACAGCUGGGACAGCACAACUGAAGACAGGAGAGAGAAUUUCUAGAAGUGCUUCCAAAUGAUGGAGAUCCAAACAGUGAGAAAUUGUGUCUACGCUGCCUUAGACAAGCGUCCAGCAUCCCAUCAGUUCUUAAAAAUUCUACUGCCGGUCUUGCUCAUCUGUGCUCCCCACAGAAGCCAGAAUGAUCCUUCUAAAACCUAUCAGAUCAUGUCAUUCAUCUGCUGGAAACUUCCCGAAGCUUUUCCCAUUUCUGAAACCUGAAGGCCUGGCCAUGGGUUGUGAAGCCCUUCAGCAUCUCACCUGUCCCCCUGUCCUCACUUCCAGUCAUCCCCUCCCUCGUCCCUGGUCCCACCAGCUCUUCCGGCGUGUCCUUGCUUGCACAUUCCCACUGAAUGUUUCUCCGCUCUGAACAACCCCUACUUUCAUCCUUGCUUCUAGUCUGGGAUGCACGGCCUGGGCCCUGCUUUCUUUACUUUGCUAAAAUAUAAAGAAAAAAAUGCUUUUCCAGAUGACCCUGAGUAAGCCUAUAAACUAGCUCCCAACUCACCUGCUACCUUUCUCUUGCCCUGCUUGGUUUUCUUCAUCGUAUUUAUUUCCACCAACCAUAUUUGCCUGUUCCCUAUUCCAUAAGAAGGCAGCUCCACGAGAAGUAGAACCGUGUGCAUUUUGUCAACUCUGUAUUAACAAAACCUUUAAAAAGAGCCUAGCACAUACAGGCACUCCUACAUUAUUGUUAAAUGCGUGUUUGUCCCUGAAUUUUUACAUAGUAGUUAUGAUCUUAAAAAAGAAGACUUCAAGUCAAACUUCUUUGUUCCCAAAAUGGAACCUUGUUGAAUUAGUUUGGGGAUUUUACUUAACAUGAACCUCAUUUCCCUCAUCUAAACAAUGAGGAUAAAUAAUAACCCCUACCCUGUAAAGUUAUAGCUGAAGAUUGACUGAACUAACCCAUACUGUGUGCUAAUCACUGUAUGUGCACAGCGUAAGUGAUCAAAAGUUGCUUUAUUGGGGCUGGGGAUUUAGCUCAGCAGCAUAAGCACCUGCCUUGCAAGCAGGCAGUCGUGAGUUCGAUCCCUGGUACCGAUAAAAACAACAACAAAAAAAAAAGCCAAAAAAAAAAAGUUGCUUUAUUAUACUGAUAUUGCUGUUCCUUUGAUUUAUGCCUUUUUUUUCUCUUUCCUUGGUCUUGCUUCAUAUAAAUAAUAGAAAGUUUUAAAAAUCCAGUGUUAGAAUGUGUCAAGGUUUAUGUCGGUGGCCCCAGGCCUCAUGUGUUUGCACUGUGCAUUUGUGAUUGGUUUAUUGUCUAGCACUUGGAUUGAUGGUGUCAGUACUACACUCACCUAGCGGUGGAGCCAGCAUACAAUGUAGUGGCAGGAAAAAGGCGUGUUUGACUCUCUUGCUGGUUUCCACCUUGCUGUUUGCAGCUGCAGUGAACUGUGCCCUGCCAUGCCACCCUGCCUUGGAGCCAACUGAGUAUGGACUGAAACUUACAAAAACUGUAAGAAAUAAACCUUUCCCUUCUCAAC